CAUCUGUUCUGUCACGGCACUAGUUUGGCUUUUUCCUGGUUUUGUCAUGUUUUGAGUUUUUAAGUAAAUCUUUGAGUUUCUGCCACCAUGUCUUGUCUCCUGCAUUUGGGUUCUUCACCACCAUUCAUGACAGACAUAGUUUGGCUUAAGGGUUCAUUUCUUUUUCAGUCAGUUUGCUCUUCACUAGAUCAUAUAAAUAUCUUAUUUUCAACUAUAAUAAUGAGUGGGCGGCUGGAUUAUUUAAAAAAAAAAAACAAUCAAAGCUGAAGGAAAUUUUCUUUGGGGUUGAGACAAAUUAAUAGUUUAAAACAAAUAGCUGGAUUGAUAAAUAGAAUUAACCAAAAAUAUUUUCAGAAAACAUUGUAAAUAAACAAAAUAAAAAGAAUAAUGCCACAAAAUAAGUCAGAAAAUAAAAGAAUAAAAAAGAUAAAUUUCUUCUAAUGUUAAAAUUUUGAAAAAUAAACACCAAUGAAUAGGAUAUAGAUGCCCUACGAUUUAAAAACUUGCAAAUUAACUUGUAGCAUCAAAGACUAAAAACAAGUUUAUUUUUGCUUUUUGAGCAACUUCACAAACAAUAAACUCUUCUGCAUUUGUAUAUUUGUUUUCCUUUUAGUUUCAUCUCAACUCUGAAGUCGAUAAAUGCUAAUGAAUGCUCAAAAUUUGGAUAAAAUUUGAAAAUAGGAAAAAAAAAAUACAUUUAUUAUAGGGGUUAAAGUGAAAUGAUCAUUUACUGCUUGUUAACUCAAAAAAUCUUUGAUAAUUUGCUAUUUUUUUGUUUUUUUUAAAUGGUGGCUGUGCUGUUCAACACAAACAUCUAUGAAUGUGGAAUUUCUACAAUGUAAUGGAUAAGAAAAUGAAUUAUUGAGGGCAUUGAGGCUGAACAAGUGAUUUUUAGGCACAUGUAUGAACUCUUUUUUUAAUUUGCAUUUCCAUUUUUGUUGUAUUCCAUUUCGAACAAUGAUGAGAUCGUUUUAAAUAUUUGAGACAAUAAAUAAACUUAAUACAAAUGGAAAACGUAAAAUGUAUAUAAUAGAAAAUGUUUUUACCAACUUAAAUACUAAAUUAAACUAUUAACAUUUAAACCGCCUGGUGUUCAUCAUUUCAAACUCGUGAACACAUUUUGACAAACUAUGAAGUAUCCAAUCAGUGUGAUGUUCCACUUCGCUUAAAGAAAAUGUACGGUUUUCAGAUAGGAAUGUGUUCGCUGUGUGAGGGUGUGAACUGCAGAGGCUCCUGCUGAGGAAAUAAAUGCGGUCCACCAUGUGUAAACAAGAUAAUUACAGUCUUAGAUAGAUUUGAAGGGAAAAAAAAUGCUUCAUGGGCGGAUAUGUAGCUCCCGGCACGGCAUAUUACUGUCAAAACCCUUCAACGGUAAUAUGAAGGGCCCAUGAAGCCCUUCAGCAUUGUCAAUCUUCACUUAGAGAGAACAUCAAGCAUCUGUGUGAAGGUACUAAAAAGCUUCAAGUCUAAAAUAUUUCUGAACAUGCAUGCAUGAUGGUGUAAAAAGUUGACCUAUUUGGAGACUUUUUUUUCGCAAUUAACAAAAUGAUUAAUAGGAUGUGGGCAUUAAAUGUUGCAAAAGAACCGUCUCGGCUCGUACACUGAAAUCCUGUCCACACCUCUGUUGAUCUUAUGUGAAGCUGACCACAAGAUUCAGGAUGAAGCAACUCAGAGACGUGUCGACACUCUCAGCUGUUUAAAAGCUAAUUGAGGUGGUGAGAAAAGCAUUUGAGAUAGAAGCGAGGAUUGAUAUUUUAUUCACCUUUCCACUCGUCGAGACAGUUUGAAGCUGCAACAUGAAGGUGUUCCUUCUCGUGAUCUUCCUGCUGGUUAAAACCUGUGAGAGUAGAAGACACAGGAGUGACAGCUCUAGCAGUGAAUCCCAAAGUUUAGAGAAUUUGAGGCCGUUACUGUUAAAUAUUUGUAGGAUUCUUCCUACUCUGUGCAACCCGGCUGCCACAUCUACAGCUGCAACUACAACAACAGCAGCAACAACAACAGCAACAACAGCAGCAACAACCGCAACGACCCCACGUGGAGACAGCGGCUGAACUGCAUCCAUGCCUAAAGAGGAUCCCCUCUCUGAGUUGCUCUGCUUCUCAUGGAUCUGUUUGAAUGUCAUGCACUGUUUUAGCUUUGUGUUUGCCCCAUGGUUUAUACCAACCAGAAAGGCUGAU